UACGAAGGGGGCUAGCGUUGUUCGGAAUUACUGGGCGUAAAGGGCGCGUAGGCGGACGCGCAAGUCAGGGGUGAAAUCCCGGGGCUCAACCUCGGAAUUGCCUUUGAGACUGCGUAUCUUGAGGACAGGAGAGGGUCGUGGAAUUCCCAGUGUAGAGGUGAAAUUCGUAGAUAUUGGGAAGAACACCGGUGGCGAAGGCGGCGACCUGGACUGUAUCUGACGCUGAGGCGCGAAAGCGUGGGGAGCAAACAGG
rnacentral:rRNA from 1 species